UCCGCUUCGGAAAUUACCUGGAUGUUCGGAUGUGACGAUUUGGGGAAGAGUCUCGCCUGCGAAGGUCAUCCUUUCGAUAAUUUUUGAACAAAUAAUAUGCAAAGAUACAAAAGACGAAAUGGAGGCGAAAGCGGUUCCAAUAAUCUUGAAUUAUUGCGAAGGAGCAGAGUCGACUGCUCUCUGAAUUGUAAUUACUUCCAGAGAAGAUACGAGAAUUUCAACUACGCUCGACUUGAUAAUUAAACAUUCGACGUCCUAAGUAAAACACAUUUACAUUGCACUUCUUGUUCUUCCGUACAUCCGACGAUACAUGCAACAUGGAUAAUAUAAAUGUCCGACCAUCAAGCAGGUUAAGAAACGAAAACGUUAUCCUUUUUAAUUUUAUAUUUAAAUGGUAAAUCAAUCAAUGCUCUGUUUAUCGAAUGAUUUUUAUGAAGUCGACAAACGUAUUUCUAUUCACUUUCUAUAAGUGAAUUCAUUAAAAAACUUCCAAAUGGUAUGAAACUCAAGUUGAAGAGAGAGGCAUCUAAUUAUCCGGAAAAAACGUAUUGCCAUUGCUAUAGCAUUACUUAUAGCAACCAUCGACUUUAAUAUUGAAUUUUAAUAAACGAGCGCAUUGGAUCGUGAAAACAGAAGAGUGGUUCAAGAAACAGUUGAAAAUUCUAACCAAAGAAGGAACAUCGUUAGCUAUUGCUUUUUAUGCAUUAUGUGAUUAAAAAUACCUAGGAAAAAGAAAAAGAAGAAAAAACAUUUGUGUUUGACGAUACAGGACCAAUGGCGCUGUUUUAUAAAGCCUGGAGCGGUGGUACGAAGAAAUGGGAGGGAUUUACGUUUUUCAAAGGAUCCAAAGAUGGUUGCCAUUAUCACGUCCGGUGAGGCGCUUUUAUAUCACUCCCGACCGUUCAUCUCCAAGGGCCUUCAUGAACGUGUUUUUAGGACGACUCGAAACAG